UACGUAGGGUGCAAGCGUUAAUCGGAAUUACUGGGCGUAAAGCGUGCGCAGGCGGUUUUGUAAGUCUGACGUGAAAGCCCCGGGCUCAACCUGGGAAUUGCGUUGGAGACUGCAAGGCUUGAAUCUGGCAGAGGGGGGUAGAAUUCCACGUGUAGCAGUGAAAUGCGUAGAGAUGUGGAGGAACACCGAUGGCGAAGGCAGCCCCCUGGGUCAAGACUGACGCUCAUGCACGAAAGCGUGGGGAGCAAACAGG
rnacentral:rRNA from 1 species